rnacentral:rRNA from 1 species
UGCAGCAACGCCGCGUGAGGGACGACGGCCUUCGGGUUGUAAACCUCUUUUAGCAGGGAAGAAGCGAAAGUGACGGUACCUGCAGAAAAAGCACCGGCUAACUACGUGCCAGCAGCCGCGGUAAUACGUAGGGUGCAAGCGUUAUCCGGAAUUAUUGGGCGUAAAGAGCUCGUAGGCGGUUUGUCGCGUCUGCUGUGAAAACUGGAGGCUCAACCUCCAGCCUGCAGUGGGUACGGGCAGACUAGAGUGCGGUAGGGGAGAUUGGAAUUCCUGGUGUAGCGGUGGAAUGCGCAGAUAUCAGGAGGAACACCGAUGGCGAAGGCAGAUCUCUGGGCCGUAACUGACGCUGAGGAGCGAAAGGGUGGGGAGCAAACAGGCUUAGAUACCCUGGUAGUCCACCCCGUAAACGUUGGGAACUAGUUGUGGGGUCCAUUCCACGGAUUCCGUGACGCAGCUAACGCAUUAAGUUCCCCGCCUGGGGAGUACGGCCGCAAGGCUAAAACUCAAAGGAAUUGACGGGGACCCGCACAAGCGGCGGAGCAUGCGGAUUAAUUCGAUGCAACGCGAAGAACCUUACCAAGGCUUGACAUAUACGAGAACGGGCUAGAAAUAGUCAACUCUUUGGA